UGCCGACCGGGUGCCUGCACUAAGUUCGGCAUCAAUAUGGUGACCUCCUGGGAGCGGGGGGCCACCAAGUUGCCUAAGGAUGGCUGAACUGGCCCAGGUCAGAAACGGAGCAGGUCAGAACUCCCGCACUGACCAGUAGUGGGACUGUGCCUGGGCG
rnacentral:sRNA from 1 species